CUGAGAAUGCAGCUCAGUGGUAAAGUGCUCACCUAGCAUGUGUGAGACUAGAGUUCAAUCCCCAAUACUUAAA
rnacentral:tRNA from 1 species